rnacentral:misc_RNA from 1 species
GGAUUAGCUCAAAGAAGACCCUAUAACACCUGUUUCAUACUAUGCCUUUUUCCAUAUCAAAAUGGGAUAUAUUGUGACAAUUCAGUAGAGUUUUUCAGCAGAGAAGUGAAGUUGGUUCGACGGUUGAAUUUAAUAGCUGAACUGCUGCUUUAGAGAGAAUGAAUGGAAGAUAGUCAAGAUAUAGCGGCAGGACAGAACAAGAUAUUGGCUAAGAUCCUCAAUGAUGAACUAGAAGAUGCUGCUGUUCAGAUUCAUGGUUAUUUUCAAGCAUGUUUUGGUCACACAUAACAGAAGAAGACGUGAAAUCCAUGCUGCACAUUUUACUAAAAUAUUAAGAAAAGGGUGGAAAGAGGGAAUCCAAAUCGAUCUCACCUCUGAUGCAGGAACAGAAAAGUUCAAUUUUCUUAAGGACAUCCCCAUGAUUAAAACUUUGAAUUUCAUGGGAAAAAGCAUCAUCAACGCGUUAAUUUUAAUGGAAGGCUAAGCUAGAACAUAACUAUAUCUGUAAUUUCAUGGAAUCCCAGAAUUAUAUUUCAUUCAAAAUUUUUAUGGUUAUUGUACUGAUCAU